rnacentral:rRNA from 1 species
AAGAUUCCAAAGGUCGAACAGACCCAAAACUCCAAGCUUCUACACCUGGAUUUUACUCUUAAUUCAACAUCGAGGUCGCAAUCUCUUUUGUCGAUGUGUACUCUCAAAAAAAAUUACG